UUCUGCCCCUAAAACAAGGCAGUUAACCCACUGUUCCUAGGCCGUCAUUGUAAAAUAAUAAUUUGUUCUCAUUAACGGACUUGUCAAGUUAAAUAAAUAAACACAUUAAAUGGCCUUAAUGAAGAUGUGUCUUUUCAAUGUGGCCCUGUCAUAGGAUGACACCUUUCCAACAAGUCAGUUCAUCAAAUUCCUGCUAGAGCUGUCCCGGGUCAACUGUAAGUGCUGGUUUUGUCAACUAGAAACGUCUUGGAGCAACAACGGCUCAGCCGUGAAGUGGUAGGCCACACAAGCUCACAGAAUGGGAACACUUGAUACGCAUAGCGAGCAAAAAUCGCCUGUCCUCGGUUGCAAAACUCACCAUCGAGUUCCAAACUGCCUCUGUCCUCUCUCUUCCGUGGCCCGGAAACCGAUGAUGGUCGAGUGGUCGAGGAGAGUCAAUUUGUUAGUAGUGUCUUCCCUUCCUCGAUGGCCACGUUUUUCAUUGAGGCUGGUCAUGUGUAUCCUAUCGCAGUCCUUUGCGGAAGAGUUUCGAUAUCUACCACACCCCCUUUUUGAAGCACAGUGUAUUAACUGUAAAUUCAUCGGGAAGAAUCUAAUUUGCAUACUCAUUCUCAAAACUCAUUGGAUGAGAAAGCCAGAGGUCCCUCCCCUCUGACCAUCUCCUCCAAUGGGUUUUUUGAGAGGUAGGCGAGGAAAAAUAACUAAUGCAAUUGAGAUUCUCCUCGUGGUAGGUAACCCUGACCUUUAAACCCUAACCUGUGGCGCAGUGCAUCAACGGCAAAGUCCUGUUAGGUAACCCUGACCUCUAACCUUUGACCCCUGACAGCCCUCACACGGUGUAUUAAACAGCAAAGUCAUGGUAGGUUCUCUGUUAAGGCGUCCACAUGCUUCCCAGCCAAAACAGUUCGGUGGAGUUUGUUCAUAUAGGACGACAUUUUGGACUUCGGUGAGGGUUUUUUCCGGCUGUUUCGGCACUCAAUUUUUCUGGAGGCAAGAAAAGUCUCUUCGUCUGUGAAGAAAAGUCUCUUCGUCUGUGAAGAAAAGUCUCUUCGUCUGUGAAGAAAAGUCUCUUCGUCUGUGAAGAAAAGUCCCUUAGUCUGUGAAGAAAAGUCCCUUAGUCUGUGAAGAAAAGUCCCUUAGUCUGUGAAAAAAAGUCCCUUAGUCUGUGAAGAAAAGUCCCUUAGUCUGUGAAGAAAAGUCCCUUUGUCUGUGAAGAAAAGUCCCUUUGUCUGUGAAGAAAAGUCCCUUUGUCUGUGAAGAAAAGUCCCUUUGUCUGUGAAGAAAGGUCCCUUUGUCUGUGAAGAAAGGUCCCUUUGUCUGUGAAGAAAGGUCCCUUUGUCUGUGAAGAAAGGUCCCUUUGUCUGUGAAGAAAGGUCCCUUUGUCUGUGAAGAAAAGUCCCUUUGUCUGUGAAGAAAAGUCCCUUUGUCUGUGAAGAAAAGUCCCUUUGUCUGUGAAGAAAGGUCCCUUUGUCUGUGAAGAAAAGUCCCUUUGUCUGUGAAGAAAAGUCCCUUUGUCUGUGAAGAAAAGUCCCUUUGUCUGUGAAGAAAAGUCCCUUUGUCUGUGAAGAAAAGUCCCUUUGUCUGUGAAGAAAAGUCCCUUUGUCUGUGAAGAAAGGUCCCUUUGUCUGUGAAGAAAAGUCCCUUUGUCUGUGAAGAAAAGUCCCUUUGUCUGUGAAGAAAAGUCCCUUUGUCUGUGAAGAAAGGUCCCUUUGUCUGUGAAGAAAAGUCCCUUUGUCUGUGAAGAAAAGUCCGUGAAGAAAAGUCCCUUUGUCUGUGAAGAAAAGUCCCUUUGUCUGUGAAGAAAAGUCCCUUUGUCUGUGAAGAAAAGUCCCUUUGUCUGUGAAGAAAAGUCCCUUUGUCUGUGAAGAAAAGUCCCUUUGUCUGUGAAGAAAAGUCCCUUUGUCUGUGAAGAAAAGUCCCUUUGUCUGUGAAGAAAAGUCCCUUUGUCUGUGAAGAAAAGUCCCUUUGUCUGUGAAGAAAAGUCCCUUUGUCUGUGAAGAAAAGUCCCUUUGUCUGUGAAGAAAAGUCCCUUUGUCUGUGAAGAAAAGUCCCUUUGUCUGUGAAGAAAAGUCCCUUUGUCUGUGAAGAAAAGUCCCUUUGUCUGUGAAGAAAAGUCCCUUUGUCUGUGAAGAAAAGUCCCUUUGUCUGUGAAGAAAAGUCCCUUUGUCUGUGAAGAAAAGUCCCUUUGUCUGUGAAGAAAAGUCCCUUUGUCUGUGAAGAAAAGUCCCUUUGUCUGUGAAGAAAAGUCCCUUUGUCUGUGAAGAAAAGUCCCUUUGUCUGUGAAGAAAAGUCCCUUAGUCUGUGAAGAAAAGUCCCUUUGUCUGUGAAGAAAAGUCCCUUUGUCUGUGAAGAAAAGUCCCUUUGUCUGUGAAGAAAAGUCCCUUUGUCUGUGAAGAAAAGUCCCUUUGUCUGUGAAGAAAAGUCCCUUUGUCUGUGA